rnacentral:lncRNA from 1 species
GUCUCAAACACAAAAAUCACUUACAAGCAGAAUUGUGACAUUACGCUAGUACUAUCUGAACAAAAUCUUGCAUACACCACUAUGCAUCAGAGUGCACCAAUGUUAGUCAGACCUGAUAAACAAUGGAAAGUGUGUCAAUAAAGUCGAUAUAUUGAAUAAAAUAUGAAAAAUGUUAUUGACAUAAAUUAUAAUAAAAAUGCUUAAAUAGAGUUAUAUGGGUGUGAUUAUCUCUCUAGUCUCCCCCUAAAAGGCAAUCUCUUGGACAAAGCUCUCCCACCUCAAUUGAUUCCAAAAGCCAAAGGCCCCAGGACCCACUUGUUCAACCUCCCUGUUGCUUGACUCCACCAGAAUCAUCAGCCACCACAAGAUAAUGAAACAACUUUUCCUACCCAUUAACUUGUCUCCACGUGUCACCUGUGGAUUCUCUCCCCACUUGGUAGUUGCCUAGUUGUCAUUUUCCGUCCUUUGCCCCUUCACAUUUCACAGUGCCCCAUAAGUCUCCAGCAUUCUUGCUCAACUUCACUACUCCAACUACAAGUUUUACAACACAAAAUAGAGAGCAAGAAAGAAAAGAAAAGAAAAGAGAAACCAAAAUUAGUCAGUCCAAUGUUGAAAAAAGAGAAGAGUGGGGGGUUUGAUGGAAGUAGCAACAAUUGGGCAAGGGUGUGUGACAGUUGCCAUUCCGCAACAUGUACCGUUUACUGUCGGGCGGAUUCCGCCUAUUUGUGUGCGGAUUGUGAUGCCCGCAUACAUGCAGCAAGUCUCAUGGCUUCUCGCCACGAGCGUGUAUGGGUUUGCGAAGCCUGCGAGCGUGCCCCUGCAGCCUUUCUUUGCAAAGCGGAUGCUGCCUCACUUUGUGCCUCUUGCGAUGUUGACAUCCAUUCUGCAAACCCCUUGGCACGUCGUCACCACCGUGUCCCAAUUAUGCCCAUUCCAGGUAGCCACCAUUUCUUUUUUCACACACAACAUAUAUACUCCUACAUGUUAAAAAUUUCAAUAAAUAUGACUUCUAAACCAUAAUUUCAAAAAUGUAAAAAUUGAAUCCAUCAAACUUAAAUUCUAAAUUAGUCUCUGAUUCAAAUAUCCAGGAACCCUCUAUGGUCCUCCAGCUGUUCACACCGUUAGCGGUGGUUCUAUGAUGAUCGGUGGGACCACAGGGGAAGGCACGGAGGAUGAUGGAUUCUUGAGUUUGACUCAAGAUGCAGAUGAUACAACCAUAGAUGAAGAAGAUGAAAAUGAAGCAGCUUCAUGGUUGUUGUUGAAUCCUCCUGUUAAGAAUAACAAUAAGAACAACAUUAACAAUAACAACAACAAUCAAAAUAACAACUAUGGGAUGUUGUUUGGUGGGGAAGUAGUGGAUGAAUACUUGGAUCUUGCAGAGUAUGGAGGGGAUAGUCAAUUUAACGAUCAGUACAGUGUUAAUCAGCAGCAACAACAUUACUCUGUUCCUCAGAAGAGCUAUGUUGAAGAUAGUGUUGUGCCAGUUCAGAACGGACAGCGAAAAUCUCUGAUUCUUUACCACCAACCGCAACAACAACAACAGCAACAACAACAAAGUCACCACCUGAAUUUUCAGCUUGGAAUGGAGUAUGACAAUUCUAACACUGGAUAUGGUUACCCUGCUUCUUUGAGUCACAGUGUAAGUUUUCUUCACUUUAUCGAUAUACCUCACUUUGUGAGUUGUCUUACGAAGCUACUACUCUGUGCAACAUCAGUUCUUUUAACACUUCUUUUUAGCUUCUGAAUUACUUUUUCCAGCACUUCGUCCUUUUUCAACAGAGGAUUUGUCAUUUUAGGUUCCCAUUUGCUAUUAUGGUUACCUUUACAUACCCCUAAACUGACCCUUGAACUUUUGUCGUAUUAAAUUUUACCUAAGAUUAUGCUCUUUCCCAAAUAAACAAAGAUGUUUAGAUUCUUCUUCACCUUCCUUGACAUUGAAAUAACGUGUAAUUAGUAACUCUUAACAAUUAUCCUUUAUAUUCAAGUUAUAAAUAGUAAUUCACUAUAAUGUUUAAACUGCUCCAAUUCACGUAUGUUACUGUUUAACCGUGUUCUCGAGAUUCUUUGAUAAAACUUAUCCUCAAGGGUGGAAAUUCUAAGAAUCUUUACCUUUUCAGCUUCUCCAUUGGGUUUCUUUUGACACUUGAUUUAACACAAGGUUACCAUGUUUAUGUUAAUAAUCAGCGACAUGCUACACAGAUGUUGCUGUUGCUUUAUGUGCAGAUCCUUAGGAUAAAUCUUGUAGUCUAGCUAGUCUGUUUUCUUGAAUGGACCAUGGAAUUUUUAUGGAUCUAACUUAUAUAUACUAAUAUUAUAAAAGUAAUUACACUUGAAUGUAUUUUAACAUGUUUUUUCACGUAGCUAAUUUCACUUUCUAUGGACAGUCAACUAUAAUUAUCUUUUUAAGUGAUACAUGAAUAGGGAAGUUGACCACUCAUGUUUUUGUUGUCUUUAUGUAUCAUCAGGUUUCCAUUUCGUCGAUGGAUGUCAGUGUUGUUCCAGAAUCUGCACUAAGUGAAACUUCAAACUCCCAUCCACGACCUCCAAAAGGGACCAUCGAUCUGUUCUCAGGCCCUCCAAUUCAGAUACCUCCCCAGCUUACUCCAAUGGACAGAGAAGCCAGAGUCCUAAGGUACAGAGAGAAGAAGAAGAACCGUAAAUUUGAGAAAACCAUAAGGUAUGCUUCAAGAAAAGCCUAUGCAGAAACAAGGCCAAGAAUCAAAGGCCGAUUUGCAAAGAGAACGGACGUAAAGGCUGAAGUAGACCAGAUGUUCUCCACACAAUUAAUGACAGACAGCAGUUAUGGAAUUGUCCCUUCAUUCUGAAUGCAACAAAGAGAAGAUCAACUGCAAGCCCCUAAACCUAGAAUUAAUAUUGUAUCUCUUACGUCAUUAUCGAUCUAAGGCUAUUGGAUAAUGAGAAAUGUACUACAGCAGUUUUCCACAGAGGAUUUGUUAAAUUCUCUGCUUUGUUGUAUAUGUAAAAAGAGUUCUUCCUUGUAGACCACGCUGCAGUCAAUACGUACAAUUUUUCUCAGGAAGAAGUAAAGAAACAGAUCCUCCAGUGUGAAGGGAUUGACCCAACAAGACAAAAAGUACUAGUUCCGCGAGAAGCAAAGAGUUGACUGCAGUAACAAGGAGUGUGGUGGGAUGGAUGAGACAUCAACAACCUUAACCAGAAGUCUCAGGUUAAUGGAAAAACUUUUAGUAAGAAAUGCUUACCUCCUUAGUGGACCUACCUGACACAUAGAUAGAUACUGGAUGCCUAAAGGGAAAAAGAAAAAAGAAAAGAAGAAUUGACUGCAUAUAACUUUUCCACAUUAAAAGAACUCAGUGCAGCCACAAGUAAUGGGAAAAGCAAAAUUACCGACGACCUCUCGAUGCUCAGUGGCUGUAUAUGACAUUGUGUGCUGGUGCAAUAUAAUUGAAGCUGAGUUCUGCUGUCUGCUGUCUGCUUUCUGCUUUCCCUUGUGGUCAUCUUUUUGUUGGAACAUACUCUUUUUGGAUGACAUAUAAUGUUCAUCAAUACCUGCUUUUGGUCCAGGGCCUCUUCCCAGAUUCUCCUUCAAUACAAUGAAUAUCCCAUCACUGAAGAUAAAGAAUAAAAGGUCCACUUCUCCAAGGAUAGGAAAGCACAAUAUUUUUGCCGAAAAUGGUACUGCAUAAGCGUAAGCAAAAUACUGCUAUGAUCAUCAAACUUUUAGUUGUAAUGACAGAAUCAAGGUACACGAUAUCCCUAAAAUAGCUAACAUACAGCUUCUAAUUUGUAAUCAGCAAGGAUAUAGGUAAUUUGCUCAAGAAAAAGAAGCACUUUAGUGGGUGGUGAAAGGAAAACUAAAGGCGAUAGAAGCAAGGGGACUGGGGAACGACAUCUGUUAAGCUAAUGAAAAAUCUCUAAGACCAAUCAUCUGUAUUUACCCUUGCUCAAGUCAAUCAACUACUAAAGUGUUCCUCCUAUCUUGGAAUCUAAAGAGUUCUCACUUCUACAGUUCUAUGUAUCAUCUAUUUCAUUAACUGUUUAUAUAUUAUCAACUAAAAGCACUUGGCAGUAAGAAAAUUACUUGACUCAACAAACUGGUGUUGUCAAAAGCAAAAGGUAAGAAGAGCAACCAGGGUAUGGUCGGGUUUUAAGUGCAAAGUGCGAUUAAAAAGCACACGUUAAUGAAGGAGACGAAGAUGAAGAAGUAAAUGUAAAAAUAAACACAAACAAGCAUUUAUAUGGACCAAGGAAUUGAGAAUAAAAUUGCAAACAUAAUAAAAACAUGUCAAUAAAGUUCAAUCUCAUUGCCCCCAAGGCCUAGCUCAAGUGGCAAAAGGUGGAGGAUUUGUGGCUUAAGUCGCAGGUUCAAGCCCCACACCAUGCAAAGUGAAGCCCGGUAUUUAAGUGGAGAAGGGUAGAGGGGCGGGCCCAUUAUCCACUGAGUUUAGAAGGCUGUGAUUGGUCCAAAGGGCGGGUCACAGACGGAUUUCUCGGUUAUCAAAAAAAAAAAAAAAAAAAAAGUUCAAUCUCAUUUUUUUAUUCCGUUGCAAAGAUGCAAAUUUAAGUUUCUAAUUCAAUUUUAUUGACUAAUUUGCUUUGAUAAAGUAUUCUAUUGACCUAUUUUGAAUCACUAACAUUUUUCCUUAAUGUUUUCUUAACAAGUGAUGUAUCACUUCGCUUUGUAAUUAUUUUUUAGCUUGCCCACUUCAAAAUCAUUAUAAAUUACUUAAACUUAUUAAGAAGCAAUAAGUUGGCUGUCUUUCUAAGGCACAGACCUCACAGUGCCUAAGCAACGCAGAACACCAAGUUUGCGAUGCAUCUAGCUUCAAGGUUUAUGCAUUCCUCAUGCGCACUUCUAACAAAUUGCCUCAUAAUCCAACUUCAAAAGGAAAGAGGUGUGCUUAGAAUAGAAUCUUCUCCAUCUACAUCAAGCAUACAUGACUUAUUAGGCUCAGUUAUUUCUGAACUACUCUACUUACUACCAAAACAGUUUACCACUAAGAAGGAGGUAUUCCAUGGCCUCAAAAGUAUCAGUAAUCAAAAGACAAUGUCCUUUUAUCAGUCUUAAGCUGAAGGAAAGCAUAUUGCACUUUAGCCUUUUUUUUAUGUGAAGUAGUCACUGAAAAAGUAACAAGGCAAGUUCCAGCUUAUCUAGGAAUAAGGUGAAAGUGUAAGGAGGUAAGAACUUUGUGGCUAAGAAAUUUCAUCCAAGAAUGGCUUGGACGUUCACUUUUAGGUCUUUUUUGAUCAUUGGGUACUUUUAGUAUCCAAUUCUGCACUGCUAUUCGUUGAACAGAAGAACCUUUAUCCACCUCACAACUCACUAGCAUAGAAAAAGAAUACCCAUUAAUGUGUCACGACCAAUAUUAUUUUGCUCAGUUAUUUCUGCACUACUCUAUUUACUACCAAAACAGUUUACCACUAAGAACUACUAUCAAUAAAGAUAGUUGCUGCUCUCUUCAUACUUGUUUGCAGGUUAAGUUGCUCAUCUAUCUUUAGCAAUGCAUGUGAUCCAAUUCAUUGGAUUUCAAGUCACAGUAAACUGUGAAGCAUACUACUAGGAGGUAUUCAUGGCCUCAAGCCCUCAACAGAAAUUAGUAAUCAAAAUAUGCAACUGAUUGAACAAGACGCAUAAGGAAAGCAUAUUAAACCUUUGUGAAGUAGUCAUUGAAAAAGUAACAAGGCAAGUUUCAGCUUAUCGAGGAAUAAGAUGAAAGUGUAAGGAAGUAGGAACUUUGUGGCUAAGAAAUUUCAUACUAAAAUGGCUUGGACAUUCACUUUUAGGUCCUUUUUGAUCAUUGGGUACUUUUAGUAUCCAAUUCUGCACUGCUAUUCGUUGAAGAGAAGAACCUUUAACCACCUUACAACUCACUAGCAAAGAGAAAGAAUACUCAUCAAUGUGUCACGGCCAAUAUUAUUCCCACCCAGAAUAAACGGGCAAACAACUCAGAUUGUUUGAGUUAUUCCUGAGCCGUUCAAGUUGGAUCAGGUCCCUCUGAUUCCAUGGGUACUUUAGCUAUCUAUUUAUGCCAUGCCAUUUGCUGAACACCAGCACUUUUUCCGCAGCUCAUAAGAGCCAAGCAAUCCAUCAUGGAGCAAUUCUAGUGAUUCCAAUGCAAUAAAAUUAUUAAAACAACAAAACAACCUUUAAUGAUUUUUCUAAUUCAAUGUGAAAAUAUCAAACUGCAUUGCUGGUUGACUCCACAACAAAAUCCAGAUAUAGUAAUCUUAUUUCUUGUCUGUGAAUAACUAAUUUCGUGCAAAUUUGCUGCUCGAGAUUAUAUCGUACACACACACACAAGGUGGUGUCCAAAAUGCUCAACUCAGUGGCGAAGCCAGGAUUUUCAUAAAUCCUUAAGAGGGUUAAAAAAUAUGACGAAAUAAAUACACAAGGAAGUCAAGAGAAUUCAACAUCCACUAUAUAUACUUAAAAAUAAUUUUAACCGUGUACAUACAAAGUAAUUUUCCAAUGAAAGGGAUUCGAACCCCCUUGCCCUUUCCUGGCUCGACUCCUCGCUACCUCCCACCAGCACGGUUUUCAAAUUAUUCAGCACACCAAGAUUUAGGCAAAUCGGAAAAAUCUGUGUAAUGUCGUCUCUGCUGGAAUUUGAACCUUGGUUUCCAAGGUUUUUAUCCCAACUCCUCAACGUCAAGGAAGAGAACAAAACCAUAUUACCUAAAGAUAAUUUUAUUGGUCGUUUUACAUAUUAUGUGAAGGUGUGAACCAAGGAAACCCACACAUAAGGCUUCCUCAUUUUAGAUUGUAUCAGUUGAGGGUCAAAGUUUGCACCUGGAGGAUAAUCCUAACAAAUAUUCUAUAGAUAUGGUUUAAAAGAGAAUGUAGCACUUUACUUUAUUCUUUUUUUUUAUGACAAGGGAAACCCGCAGCCUCUACCCUUUGGGUGAGCACAGGGUAAAACCCCCGCUCCUCUGCAAUAGCUCGCAAACCACAUAGGAGAGGUAACCCACACUAGGCAAGCCCGGUGCGACGAGCUCGACCCAGAAGGCAAACCCCUUGCUUUUGCUGGCAAGGGGUUUCGAACUUGAGACCUCCAACAUGGAAGUCCCAAGCCCAAACCACUGGGCCAUCCCUAAGGGUUCACUUUACUUUAUUCUUUUGUGGAUCAAGAAUCUUAAGAAAAAGUGAAAAGAGCAUAUUCCAUCUCACAAGAACAUUGAAGUUAUCCUGGACCUGUUGUGUUCCACAGAAGUAACCAGAGAAAGGCUAAAAUUUCAAGUUUGAGAUCCCUCCUAUUCCAUGGGUACUUUAUGUAUCUAUUUCUGCUCUGCCAUUUGCUGAGUCACAGCACUUUUUCUACAGCUCAUAAAUGUCAAGCAAUCCACUUGUGAUUCCUAUGCUUAGAAAAUUACUAGUUUUUGGAGGUAGAGUCCUGAGAAAAAGUGAAAAGAGUAGGUUCCACUUAAGUCACCUGAGCAUAGCUAAGCCUUUUAAGCUUUGAGGUCCCUAAGAUUACAAGGGAACUUUAGCUAUCUAUUUCUGCUCUGCCAUUUGCUGAGCCGCAGGUCUUUUUUCCCACAACUCAUAAAUGCUAAGCAAUCCACCAUGGAGCAAUUCUUGUGAUAGCUAUGCUUAAAAAAUUAUUAAACAAAACAAAACAAUUUCCAGUGAUUUUCUAAUUAAUGCGAAAAUAUCGAACUUCAUUUCUGGUUGAUUACACAACAAUGUCCAGAUACAACAAUCUUAUUAUUGUGAGUGAACAACUAAUUUCGAGCAAGUUCGCUGGUCGAGAUUGUGCCUUACAGAAACACAUAGUGAGGCCAGGCUAUGCAGCUUGAUUAAGUCACAAGGUACCUACUACCUCCAACCGGCUCUACAAGUAUCGAAUAAUUAUGUCCACCAAAAUUUAGGCAAAUGCGAAAAAUUCUAGUAGCGUCACCUCUGUUGGGAUUUGUACCUUGGUACCCAAGGCUAUUAUUCCAAGUCCUCAACUGCUAGGGGACACAGGCAAAUCAUAUUGACUAAAGAUAAUUUUACUAGCUGUUAUUUUUCAUAAUGUGCGAACGAAAGAAGCACACACACAGACGUAGGCAAGAUUUCAACAAAAAUGUUUCAUCUUAGAUUGUAUCAGUUGACUGUCAAAGAAUGCAUACAGAGGCUAAUCCAGGCUAAUAUUUUAAAGCAUAUAAUUAAAAGACAAUGUAGAGCUUCUUUCUUUUAACUUUUGUGGAUGAAGAGUCCUACCAUAAAGGUGAAAAGAGUAGAUUCUAUCUCAGUGAGAACAUUGAAGUUGUUCCACAGAAGUCAUUAGAGCCUGGCUAAGCCUUUCAAGUUUGAGGUCCCUCUUGAUCCAUGACACUUUAGUACCUAUUUCUUCUCUUCCAUUCGCUGAAAACCUGAAACUCUGCACUUUUUACAAAGCUCAUAAAUUUCUUAGUUUUUUGUGGGUGUGAGGCCCUUUCAAAUCCUUAGGACUUUUAUUUAUCUAUUUCCGCACUGUCAUUUGCCAAACAUCAUUACUUUUUUGAUCUGGUUGACAGCCACAACAAAGAUUCUUUCGUGCCAUAUCAUCAAAUUUUAUCCAGUAAUAGCAUUAAGAGGUAAAAUUGUCUAAGCAUUUCAAAUUUGUGUAUUUAGUGGGGAAAAAACUGAAAAAUGCGUUUGUCCUCUUUUUUAUAUACCAAGAUGCAUUUGUAUGUAGUGUAAUCCCUUUGUAUAUACCAAACAAAGAUUCUUUCAUGCCAUACCAAGAUGCUCUACCUUAGAGGCAAUUGUCCCUUUAUAGAUAUAAAAAAAUAAUGAGAACAAACCUAGUUUAAUCCCACAAGUGGGGUCUGGAGGGGGACAGAUGUAUGCAGAAAUACCUUUGUGGGAUAGAGAGAUUGUUUCUAACAGACCUCGGCUAAAAAAGUGAAGUUAUUCGGAAAAGGAUUGCAGGAAGAAAAAGAAAUGACAGCAAAAUAUCAAGCUACAUGCAAAAUAGAACAACAGAUAGCAAAAACAUUGACAAAAAAAAAACUGUGAUAACUAAAUUAAUACUAAUAAAUAGGGACAAGGGGAUAUGAGGUUAGCCCCCUGCCACUCCCAACUAAUGAGCGACCACAUUCAGCUACCUACUAACCUUCUACCCUAAUCCUCGAUUGCCAUACCCUCUUAUCUAGGGACAUGUCCUCAAUAAGCUGAAGUUGUGUCAUGUCUUGUCUUGUCUAAUCAACUCCCCCAUUUCGUUUUUGGUCACCACUACCUCUCCUAACUCCUGUUACAACCAACCUCCUAACUAGCGUAUCUGCACACCUCCUAACUAAUCCACAUUCAGCUACCUACUAACCUUCUACCCUAAUCCUCGAUCGCCAUGCCCUCUUAUCUAGGGACAUGUCCUCAAUAAGCUGAAGUUGUGUCAUGUCUUGUCUUGUCUAAUCAACUCCCCCCAUUUCGUUUUUGGUCACCACUACCUCUCCUAAAUCCUGUUACAACCAACCUCCUAACUAGCGUAUCUGCACACCUCCUCUUCACAUGCCCAUGCCCGAACCAUCUCAGUCUCACUUCUCUCAUCUUGUCCGUCAUGAAUGUCAUUCCCACCUUGCCCCAUAUAGCUUUGUUCCUGAUCAUGUUUCUCCCUUUAUAUAUACCAUUUCUAAAAAUAUGUGUACCUAUAUGAAGCUUGUAUUCUUUAUCAGAAAAAGACAUAUUUGGAAAAAGAAAUAAAUCCUUAAACCAUCACGUCUCAAAUUCAAACAGACUUAUAAGUUGAACCAUAACAAACCGUAACAAUAGAUGUUAGUAUCAUAUGUUCACCACAAUAAAGCAGAAUAUACGAAAUAAUCAGGAAAGAAAAAUUUAACGAAAAAUACAGAACUGUGAAUUAAUUAUCCGAGCCCACAGAAUUCGCUAUGUGUCCUUAAUAAGCCCUAGCCCCAUAUAAGAGAUCUAAAAAGGUCAUUUACUUCUUUUCAAUUUGUACGUGGUCAUAAGAGACCACUUCCUCUCUAUCAUUAGAUAAAAGAUACAUGUCAAUAUUCAGACACCAAAUCAGUUGCCCAACAUACAUUAUUUCAAAUUUGAAAAAAGAACUUUCAUCGUGUCUGUUGCAGCACCAAUUAUUUUCUUUUGAUGUGGUGCUGAGUUUCUUUUCCUAAUGUUAGUAGAGCAUCAAAGUCUCAAGUCUUUCAAAUGAGGUUUUCUAUGACAAAGUUCCUCUAUAUUUUCUCUAACUGCUAUUUUCUUCUCCUUCCUACACUACUAUUUUGAAAUCAUAGAAAGGGAAAACGUCAAUACUAUAGAUGCUUAUCAAAGUACUGAACUCUGAAGGGAUCUUCCAAACAGUAUAAAUUCAACAUGUGAAGUAAGCCUACGUAUGCCAAACUCAGCAAUUCUUACGAUGAAACAAAAAUAAUCUUGCUCUCCAAGAACAAGACUUCCUAAUUCUUCCACUCCACUACUAUAUAUGACCUUUAAAGCAUUCUUCCCGUUUAACCUGCUUAGGCAUAUGUUUUGAUCAUUUGGAUUCUAUUAUGAGAUUCAACGAGAAUCACAUCACGAGAGUAUUCUAAAAACCGAAAUUACAAAAUCAAUGUUUUCAAUACCAUACCAUUCAGGUCCGUACCAUGCCCACCCCUAACGGUGAAAAUCUAAUAAACUAUGGGAAGUGUAUCGGUAUAGUCCACCCCUUAAAGGCAAUCUCUUGAACAAAGCUCUCCCACCUCAAUUGAUUCCAAAAGCCCAAGGCCCCUGGACCCACUUGUUUCAACCUCCUUGUGGCUUGACCCCACCUUCCGGCCCCACCAGAAUCACCAGCCACCACAAGAUAAUGAAAAAACUUUUCCUACCCAUUAACUUCCCUCCACAUGUUUCCCUUGGAUUCUCUCCCCACUUGAUAGUUGCCUACUGUUAUUUUCCCUCCUUUCCCCCUUCAUAUUCCACAGUGCCCCAUAAGUCUGCAGCAUACCUGCUAAACUUCAGUAUUCGAAGUACAACAGAAAAUAGAGAGCAAGAAGAAAAAAUAGGCCAAAAAUAGUUCAAUGUUGAAAAAGGAGAACAGUGGGGGUUUUGAUGGCAGCAGCAAUUACUGGGCAAGAGUGUGUGACAGUUGCCGUUUAGUUACCUGUACCAUUUACUGCCAGGCGGAUUCUGCCUAUUUGUGUGCAGGCUGUGACGCCCGCAUACAUGCAGCAAGUCUGGUGGCUUCUCGUCACAAGCGUGUGUGGGUUUGUGAGGCCUGCGAGUGUGCCCCUGCAGCCUUUCUUUGCAAGGCGGAUGCUGCCUCACUUU